GAGCCGGAGGGAAACCGAGUCUUAAUUGGGCGUUAAGUUGCAGGGUAUAGACCCGAAACCCGGUGAUCUAGCCAUGGGCAGGUUGAAGGUUGGGUAACACUAACUGGAGGACCGAACCGACUAAUGUUGAAAAAUUAGCGGAUGACCUGUGGCUGGGGGUGAAAGGCCAAUCAAACCGGGAGAUAGCUGGUUCUCCCCGAAAGCUAUUUAGGUAGCGCCUCGUGAAUUCAUCUCCGGGGGUAGAGCACUGUUUCGGCUAGGGGGCCAUCCCGGCUUACCAACCCGAUGCAAACUGCGAAUACCGGAGAAUGUUAUCACGGGAGACACACGGCGGGUGCUAACGUCCGUCGUGAAGAGGGAAACAACCCAGACCGCCAGCUAAGGUCCCAAAGUCAUGGUUAAGUGGGAAACGAUGUGGGAAGGCCCAGACAGCCAGGAUGUUGGCUUAGAAGCAGCCAUCAUUUAAAGAAAGCGUAAUAGCUCACUGGUCGAGUCGGCCUGCGCGGAAGAUGUAACGGGGCUAAACCAUG
rnacentral:rRNA from 1 species